rnacentral:rRNA from 1 species
UUCUAUUAAUAUAAUUAAUAGUAAAAUCUGCUCAAUGAAAAUUAAAUAGCCGCAAAUAAUUUUGUGCUAAGGUAGCAUAAUCACUCGUUUUUUAAUUAAAAACUAGAAUAAAAGAUUUAACAUUUUAAUAAAUUUCUUAAAUUUUAAAUUUUAAAUUAUUUUAAAUGUAAAAAAACAUUUAUAUAACAGGUAGACGACAAGACCCUAUUGAACUUAACUAUAGUUAAACUGGGGCAGUUAAUUAAUAAUUACUUUAAUUUAAAUAUUUAUACAAAUAGACCUAUAAAAAAUUAAUUAAAUAAUCAAGCUACCAUAGGGAUAACAGCAUAAUAACUAAUUAAAGUUCUUAUAUAAUUACUAAAUUGUGACCUCGAUGUUGAAUAAUAUUCUUCAAAACGCAAUAGUCUUGAAAGAAAGUCUGUUCGACUUUUAAAUAAUUACA